GCUAAACACUUUGUACUUGGGUAAAAAUCAACUUUCUGGUUUGAUUCCUAAGGAGAUAGGAAACUUGAAAUCUCUUGUAGAUCUAGAGUUGUCCUACAACAAUUUAAGUGGUCUCAUCCCUCCAAAUAUUGGUAACUUAAUAAACCUAAACACUUUGUCCUUGGGUAAAAAUCAACUUUCUGGUUUGAUUCCUAUGGAGAUAGGAAACUUGAAAUCUCUUGUAAAUCUAUUGUUGUCCUACAACAAUUUAAGUGGUCUCAUCCCUCCAAAUAUUGGUAACUUAAUAAACCUAAACACUUUGUACUUGCAUUCCAAUCAACUUUCUGGUUUGAUUCCUGAGGAGAUAGGAAACUUGAAAUCUCUUGUAGAUCUAGAGUUGUCCAACAACAGUUUAAGUGGUCUCAUCCCUCCAAAUAUUGGUAACUUAAUAAAGCUAAAUACUUUGUACUUGGAUAACAAUCAACUUUCUGGUUUGAUUCCUAAGGAGAUAGGAAACUUGAAAUCUCUUGUAGAUCUAAAGUUGUCCUACAACAAUUUAAGUGGUCUCAUCCCUCCAAAUAUUGGUAACUUAACAAACCUAAACACUUUGCACUUAGGUAAAAAUCAACUUUUUGGUUUGAUUCCCAAAGAGAUAGGGAACUUGAAAUCUCUUGUAGAUCUAGAGUUGGCCGAGAAUCAACUCAACGAUUCAAUUCCAGCCUCAUUUGCCAACUUGAGCAACUUGG
rnacentral:lncRNA from 1 species